rnacentral:rRNA from 1 species
CAGUAGCCGCGGUAAUACGUAGGUGGCAAGCGUUGUCCGGAAUUAUUGGGCGUAGAGGGCUCGCAGGCGGUUUCUUAAGUCUGAUGUGAAAGCCCCCGGCUCAACCGGGGAGGGUCAUUGGAAACUGGGGAACUUGAGUGCAGAAGAGGAGAGUGGAAUUCCACGUGUAGCGGUGAAAUGCGUAGAGAUGUGGAGGAACACCAGUGGCGAAGGCGACUCUCUGGUCUGUAACUGACGCUGAGGAGCGAAAGCGUGGGGAGCGAACAGGAUUAGAUACCCCCGUAGUCCCUGUCUCUUAUAC